GAUGAAGAACGUAGCAAAAUGCGAUACUUGGUGUGAAUUGCAGAAUCCCGUGAACCAUCGAGUUUUUGAACGCAAGUUGCGCCCGAAGCCUUUUGGCCGAGGGCACGUCUGCCUGGGCGUCACGCAUCGCGUCGCCCCCCACAAUUCUCCGUAAAAGGAACAUGUGUUUUGGGGGCGGAUAUUGGUCUCCCGUGCUCAUGGCGUGGUUGGCCGAAAUAGGAGUCCUUUCGAUGGACGCACGAACUAGUGGUGGUCGUAAAAACCCUCGUCUUUUGUUUCGUGCUGUUGCUCGCAAGGUAAACUCUUUAAAAACCCCAAUGUGUCGUCUCUUGACGACGCUUCGACCGCGACCCCAGGUCAGGCGGGACUACCCGCUGAGUUUAAGCAUAUCAAUAAGCGAGGA
rnacentral:misc_RNA from 1 species